rnacentral:rRNA from 1 species
AACAGCUCAAAUUUGAAAUCUGGCCCUCUCAGGGUCCGAGUUGUAAUUUGUAGAGGAUGCUUCGGGUUCGGCUCCGGUCUAAGUUCCUUGGAACAGGACGUCACAGAGGGUGAGAAUCCCGUAUGUGACCGGCCGCCACGCCCAUGUGAAGCUCCUUCGACGAGUCGAGUUGUUUGGGAAUGCAGCUCAAAAUGGGUGGUAAAUUUCAUCUAAAGCUAAAUAUUGGCCAGAGACCGAUAGCGCACAAGUAGAGUGAUCGAAAGAUGAAAAGCACUUUGGAAAGAGAGUUAAACAGUACGUGAAAUUGUUGAAAGGGAAGCGCUUGCAACCAGACUUGCCCGCAGGUGAUCAACCGGUAUUCUUACCGGUGCACUCGCCUGUGGUCAGGCCAGCAUCGGUUUGGGCGGCUGGAUAAAGUCCUCUGGAAUGUAGCUCCCUCCGGGGAGUGUUAUAGCUGGAGGUGCAAUGCAGCCCGCCUGGACCGAGGACCGCGCUUCGGCUAGGAUGCUGGCGUAAUGGUUGCAAGCGACCCGUCUUGAAACACGGACCAAGGAGUCUAACAUCUAUGCGAGUGUUUGGGUGUCAAACCCAUGCGCGUAAUGAAAGUGAACGGAGGUGGGAACCCCUGAGGGUGCACCAUCGACCGAUCCUGAUGUCUUCGGAUGGAUUUGAGUAAGAGCAUAGCUGUUGGGACCCGAAAGAUGGUGAACUAUGCCUGAAUAGGGUGAAGCCAGAGGAAACUCUGGUGGAGGCUCGCAGCGGUUCUGACGUGCAAAUCGAUCGUCAAAUUUGGGUAUAGGGGCGAAAGACUAAUCGAACCAUCUAGUAGCUGGUUCCGGCCGAAGUUUCCCUCAGGAUAGCAGUAACGUUUUCAGUUUUAUGAGGUAAAGCGAAUGAUUAGAGGCCUUGGGGUUGAAACAACCUUAACCUAUUCUCAAACUUUAAAUAUGUAAGAAGUCCUUGUUGCUUCGUUGAACGUGGACAUUUGAAUGUACCGUUACUAGUGGGCCAUUUUUGGUAAGCAGAACUGGCGAUGCGGGAUGAACCGAACGCGAGGUUAAGGUGCCGGAAUGCACGCUCAUCAGACACCACAAAAGGUGUUGUUUCAUCCAGACAGCCGGACGGUGGCCAUGGAAGUCGGAAUCCGCUAAGGAGUGUGUAACAACUCACCGGCCGAAUGAAACAGCCCUGAAAAUGGAUGGCGCUCAAGCGUGCUACCCAUACCUCGCCGCCA